rnacentral:rRNA from 1 species
GAUGAACGCUGGCGGCGUGCCUAACACAUGCAAGUCGAGCGAUCUUCUUCGGAAGAGAGCGGCGGACGGGUGAGUAACGCGUGGGUAACCUGCCCUGUACACACGGAUAACAUACCGAAAGGUAUGCUAAUACGGGAUAACAUAAGAAAGUCGCAUGGCUUUCUUAUCAAAGCUUUUGCGGUACAGGAUGGACCCGCGUCUGAUUAGCUAGUUGGUAAGGUAACGGCUUACCAAGGCGACGAUCAGUAGCCGACCUGAGAGGGUGAUCGGCCACAUUGGAACUGAGACACGGUCCAAACUCCUACGGGAGGCAGCAGUGGGGAAUAUUGCACAAUGGGCGAAAGCCUGAUGCAGCAACGCCGCGUGAGCGAUGAAGGCCUUCGGGUCGUAAAGCUCUGUCCUCAAGGAAGAUAAUGACGGUACUUGAGGAGGAAGCCCCGGCUAACUACGUGCCAGCAGCCGCGGUAAUACGUAGGGGGCUAGCGUUAUCCGGAAUUACUGGGCGUAAAGGGUGCGUAGGCGGUCUUUCAAGUCAGAAGUGAAAGGCUACGGCUCAACCGUAGUAAGCUUUUGAAACUGUAAGACUUGAGUGCAGGAGAGGAGAGUGGAAUUCCUAGUGUAGCGGUGAAAUGCGUAGAUAUUAGGAGGAACACCAGUUGCGAAGGCGGCUCUCUGGACUGUAACUGACGCUGAGGCACGAAAGCGUGGGGAG